rnacentral:rRNA from 1 species
GACGAACCGUGCGAACGUUGUUCGGAAUCACUGGGCUUAAAGGGCGCGUAGGCGGGCCUCCAAGUCCGGGGUGAAAGCCUCCCGCCCAACGGGAGAAGCGCCUCGGAGACUGGGGGCCUCGAGGGAGGUAGGGGCAAGCGGAACUAUGGGUGGAGCGGUGAAAUGCAUUGAUAUCCAUAGGAACUCCGGUGGCGAAGGCGGCUUGCUGGACCUCGUCUGACGCUGAGGCGCGAAAGCCAGGGGAGCAAACGGG